AGCGGACGCUGGCGGCAGGCCUAACACAUGCAAGUCGAACGAACUCUUCGGAGUUAGUGGCGGACGGGUGAGUAACACGUGGGAACGUGCCUUUUGGUUCGGAAUAACUCAGGGAAACUUGUGCUAAUACCGAAUGUGCCCUUCGGGGGAAAGAUUUAUCGCCAUUAGAGCGGCCCGCGUCUGAUUAGCUAGUUGGUGAGGUAACGGCUCACCAAGGCGACGAUCAGUAGCUGGUCUGAGAGGAGGACCAGCCACACUGGGGCUGAGACACGGCCCAGACUGCGAGGGAGGGGAGCAGUGGGGAGUAUUGCGGGAGGGAGGAAAGCGUGACGAAGCCAUGUCGCGGAAAUGAGGAAGGGCGUAGGAUAGUGAAAUUCUGUCACAGGAAACGUGAAUGACGGUACCGGGAGAAGAAGCCCCGGCUAACUACGUG
rnacentral:rRNA from 1 species